AGAAUCAACGCUGGCGGCGUGCCUAACACAUGCAAGUCGAACGAGAACGGGUAGCAAUACCUUAGUAAAGUGGCGCACGGGUGAGUAACACGUGACUAACCUACCCUGGAGUGGGGGAUAACCGAGAGAAAUCUUAGCUAAUACCGCAUAACACCUACGGGUCAAAGGAGCAAUUCGCUUCAGGAGGGGUCGCGGCAGAUUAGGAUAGUUGGCGGGGUAAUGGCCCACAAGUCAGUGAUCUGUA
rnacentral:rRNA from 1 species